rnacentral:rRNA from 1 species
CCUACGGGUGGCUGCAGUGGGGAAUAUUGGACAAUGGGCGAAAGCCUGAUCCAGCCAUGCCGCGUGUGUGAGGAAGGCCUUCGGGUUGUAAAGCACUUUCAGUGGGGAAGAAAGCCUUGGGGCUAAUACCCUCGAGGAAGGACAUCACCCACAGAAGAAGCACCGGCUAACUCCGUGCCAGCAGCCGCGGUAAUACGGAGGGUGCGAGCGUUAAUCGGAAUUACUGGGCGUAAAGCGCGCGUAGGCGGUCUGAUAAGCCGGUUGUGAAAGCCCCGGGCUCAACCUGGGAACGGCAUCCGGAACUGUCAGGCUAGAGUGCAGGAGAGGAAGGUAGAAUUCCCGGUGUAGCGGUGAAAUGCGUAGAGAUCGGGAGGAAUACCAGUGGCGAAGGCGGCCUUCUGGACUGACACUGACGCUGAGGUGCGAAAGCGUGGGUAGCAAACAGGAUUAGAUACCCGUGUAGUC